GUUUGAUUUGGCAACAUGUACUAGAAUUACAGUGAUACAGAGAAGACUGACAUGGCCUCUGAAAUAGGAUGAAAUGUAAAUUCGUAAUGCAUUCCAUAUUAAA
rnacentral:snRNA from 1 species